rnacentral:snoRNA from 1 species
AAGAAAAAGAAAAAGAAAUGUCUCUUUUUUAAGAGAGAACUUGUGUGCAAUGGCUGCAAACAGCAGCUUCCUUGGUAGUGUAAUGCAGCCUGUUUCUUGUAUGGGUUGCUCUAAGGGACCUUGGACACAAGC